GCACAAGCGGCGGAGCAUGCGGCUUAAUUCGAUGCAACCCGAAGAACCUUACCUGGGCUUGACAUCAUGGGAAAAGCCGUAGAGAUACGGUGUGCAUUAGCGUCCAUGACAGGUGCUGCAUGGCUGUCGUCAGCUCGUGUCGUGAGAUGUUCGGUUAAGUCCGCUAACGAGCGCAACCCUCGCUGUAUGUUACAUGUGUCAUACAGGACCGCCGGUAUCAAGCCGGAGGAAGGUGGGGAUGACGUCAAGUCCGCAUGGCCUUUAUGUCCGGGGCUACACACACGCUACAAUGGUCGGUACAAUGGGUUGCUAAGCCGCGAGGUGGAGCCAAUCCCCCAAAGCCGGCCUCAGUUCAGAUUGCAGGCUGCAACUCGCCUGCAUGAAGCUGGAGUUGCUAGUAAACGCGCGUCAGCUAUAGUGCGUUGAAUACGUUCUCGGGCCUU
rnacentral:rRNA from 1 species